rfam:Botryotinia fuckeliana BcDW1 unplaced genomic scaffold Scaffold_6, whole genome shotgun sequence.
GCUCCUUUAGCUCAGUGGUAGAGCGGAAGAUUGCAGUUUCGUACAAAUAUCUUCAGGUCAAUCGUUCGAACCGGUUAGGGAGCU